rnacentral:rRNA from 1 species
AUUGAACGCUGGCGGAAUGCUUUACACAUGCAAGUCGAACGGUAGAGGGGGCAACCCCUCGAGAGUGGCGAACGGGUGAGUAAUAUAUCGGAACGUGCCCAGUCGUGGGGGAUAACGUAGCGAAAGUUACGCUAAUACCGCAUACGAUCUAAGGAUGAAAGCGGGGGAUCGCAAGACCUCGCGCGAUUGGAGCGGCCGAUAUCAGAUUAGGUAGUUGGUGGGGUAAAGGCUCACCAAGCCAACGAUCCGUAGCUGGUCUGAGAGGACGACCAGCCACACUGGAACUGGGACACGGUCCAGACUCCUACGGGAGGCAGCAGUGGGGAAUUUUGGACAAUGGACGCAAGUCUGAUCCAGCCAUUCCGCGUGCAGGAUGAAGGCCCUCGGGUUGUAAACUGCUUUUGUACGGAACGAAAAGGUCUCUCUUAAUACGGGGGGCUCAUGACGGUACCGUAAGAAUAAGCACCGGCUAACUACGUGCCAGCCGCCGCGGUAA